UUUCAAUGGACCAUCUGAACAGUUUACCAUACAUCCCAUCACUGAGCACUUUUCAUAUGCAGCUUCCCAAGAGGGGAAUUUCUUCUUCUUGGCUACAUGAUCCAGGACUGCUUCUGCUAUGGGUGUAUUAUUCAUUGCCGUGGUGCUUGUGACAAUGAUAGAAAGGGACCACGACUGAAUGUGUCCUGUGGGCUGGUGGAGAUCAGUUCGGGUACAGAGAAGCCAAGGCACUUAGUGAACCUGAGACGAGGCACGUGAGGCUGGCGCUUCACACGUUGUUUGCUUUGCUGAGUCUUUGCGCUGAAAGAGUGGCCACGCCAUCCUGGAGGCGUUCGGCACUGACUGGAUGUUUUAUGGCAGUAAAUGAAGAUGUUGAAACUAAAGCACAGGAAGAUCAAGCAACUUGCCCAAGGUCACACACAGCUAGUAGGGAGCAGAGCUGAGACGUCAUAGAAUACCAAGAUGCUGCUGAAUGAAAUAAUGUGUGCAAUAUGCCAAUCAACUGUCUAUCACAUACUAGGGCUCUUUCCCAAUGAAAACAGCCAGAGGACUUGGUUCUACCUGGCACUAAGGGAGAAGCAUGAGACAGUGAGGAGAAGAACUGUGCCUGUCCCCAUGAACCCAUGGAUGAAUACCAUCUGGUCCUGGUGAUUUAUUGCACAGAGUCCCUCAAGUUGCUCCAUCCCUUUCUCCUCAGAGACUGAAGAAUCUCUGUCAAGGCCGUUCUCUGCUUUGCCAUAAAAUGUGUCCUUGGAACAGGAAUUUCCCCAUUGUCUUCUCCA